rnacentral:rRNA from 1 species
GUCCACACCGUAAACGAUGAUUACUAGGUGUUGGGAGAUUGACCCUCUCAGUGCCGCAGUUAACACAAUAAGUAAUCCACCUGGGGAGUACGACCGCAAGGUUGAAACUCAAAGGAAUUGACGGGGGCCCGCACAAGCAGUGGAGUAUGUGGUUUAAUUCGAAGCAACGCGAAGAACCUUACCAGGUCUUGACAUCCGAUGCAUAGCACAGAGAUGUGUGAAAUCCUUCGGGACAUCGAGACAGGUGGUGCAUGGUUGUCGU